UUCUACGGGGGGCAGCAGUGGGGAAUAUUGCACAAUGGGGGGAACCCUGAUGCAGCGACGCCGCGUGAGUGAAGAAGUAUUUCGGUAUGUAAAGCUCUAUCAGCAGGGAAGAAGAUGACGGUACCUGUUUAGAAAGCUCCGGCUAACUACGUGCCAGCAGCCGCGGUAAUACGUAGGGAGCAAGCGUUGUCCGGAAUUACUGGGCGUAAAGGGCGCGUAGGUGGGUGCUUAAGUCAGGUGUGAAAACUCUGGGCUCAACCUGGAGACUGCACUUGAAACUGGGUAUCUUGAGGGCAGGAGAGGAA
rnacentral:rRNA from 1 species